AUUGAGUCCAUUCAGGAGGUGACUGGGAUCAUAUUGGGGGCAAGUGGGACCACAGCGGGGGCAAACGGAUGCGACUGGGGAAUCAUACUGGUAAUGACUGGGAGCAUGUUGGGAGGAACUGGGAUCAUACUGGGACCAGAGUGGGGGGUGACUGGGGUCACACGGGGGGAACUGGGGUCAUACUGGGAGCAAGCGCCUCCCCCCGUGCCCCGGGAAACGCUGAGUCAGCGCUCAGCACGGUGGGGGCGGGGCUAUGCAGCUUUAUGCUAAUGAGCCCCGCCGUCUCUUCCCGCCCCGCGGCCGCCGAGUCACCAUCGAGACGCGGCCUCCGGCGGCGCAGAGCGGCCGAGCGGCCGCCUAUUGGUCGGGCUGCGGGAGCGGCGGGCGGAAGUGGCGUCAGGGGCCGGGAAAUUUGAAUCCAUCCGAGCGGCGACGGCGGCAGCGACAGGUGGGCGGAGCCUCGCCAUGCCCCGCUCCAAGCCCGCCACGCCCCGGCACCGCCCAGCCUCCGGCCCCGCCCCCGUCCCGCCAGCCCCGCCGUGAGGGGAGGGGAGGGGGGGGUGGGACCCUCCUAUGGAACCCCCCUA